UACAAAGAAACCUCGCUGGGUGAUCGGGAAGUCCGGUAAAAAGCCGGCGCGGACCCGCCACUGUAUGCUUGACUGCGGAACAGCAAACCACUGGAAGUUUUCCGGGAAGGUGUUCCAAAGAGCGAUAGCAAGCCAGGAGACCGGCCUAGCGAGGCGCGCAAAA
rnacentral:ncRNA from 2 species